rnacentral:lncRNA from 1 species
UUGGCUGUCGGGGAGGGCACCUGGAGAGGACACACAGCCCCAUCAGAGACCAGGGAGUGGCUCUGGGAGCUCUUUUCAUCCAAAGGGGCUGGAGCUCCAGUUAGCCAAGGUGAGCGCCAGGUGGUGACAGGAAUGACAUAGGAAAAUAAGACGGCCUGGGCAGGGAGGGCUGCCUGCUCUGGGUGUGAGGGGAUUGCUGUCUUAGAUCACGUGGUCCGGGAAGGCCUCCAGGCAUGGCUUUGCACAGAAGCUGGUACCUGAGGGCUCAGCCCCUUGGAGGCCUUGGGGACAGAGGGACGACCCUGGGUCUUGGGUCGGGAGAGGCUCACCUAGGGGCCAGGUGGAUGUGUCUAAGGAGGGCUGAGGGCUGGGCAGGGAGAGCAGCUGUGUGGUGAGGACGAAGGGAGGUCCGGCCAGAGCCCCCGGGGAGGGGCUGUUGUCAUGUGGAUGAGCUGGGAAUUAGGAAAGCUUGUGGAUUGCAAAAAAUAAUGCUUAUGCCAAAGAGGCAUAUUUUGGGGUGGCAUAUUCUGGUCUGCUCUACGUGGAAGCGGACAGAAAAAUGGGGCAGAGGCCGGGGAGGGGAGCGGGACCGACUUCCAGUUCCCAGACCCGAGCAAGGGAACCUGAGGCUGAGCUCUGGACCGUGGGGUCUGGAGGGGUUCUCUGAGGACACUCUGGGAGUGGGGGGAACAGCUCCCUCCUCAGGUUUCCCCCAAGGGAUCCUGCCUGGGGAGACCUGGACUGGACAAGGCUUGGCAGCUGCCCUGCCAGGAGGAGGGAGACAGGGCUGCAGUGGGGGGGUGCAGGGUCGCUGGG